CUUUCUGAUUGUGAUGCGAAAUCGAAGGGAAUAACAUUUCAUGUGUAAGUUGUCUCGUUAAGUGUGAUUUUACAACUUCAUUGUGAAUGAACGUGUGCUACAUCGGUACUUGUACUAUAGCGUGUUUUUCUCCUGUAGAUUUCCUAAAAAUGAAAGUCGGAAAGCUCUGUGGGAGAAUGCCGUGAGGAGGAAGAAUUGGUGUGCGUCUAAAUGGAGCACUAUAUGUUCUCAGCAUUUCCGAGAAGAGGACAUAGACUGAACUUCCGUUUCAACAGUAAGGCUCCGAGAAAAUGCUGUACCAUCAGUUUUCCCUACACACCCAAAACAUUUGCAAAAGGAUUGUCAGCGAACAUGGCGUUAUCGUUUGAACAAAGGAAAUGGAUGCUAAAGUGUUACUGGAAAACAGAGAAUUACAGAGUUGGAAGGGCACGAUAUAAUGAAAUCAAUUGCCUAUCAAUGUAUGUGUCAAGG